rnacentral:lncRNA from 1 species
GGAGUUGGCGGCGGGGCCCAGCCGAGAAUCUUCUUCCCUUCUGGUCUGACUAGGAAAGCCAGAGGGAGAUGGUGAAGGAGACACAGAGAGAGUAAAAGAACAGACCAUGCCCAGCCUCUCCACUGCAGGAGCUUGGAAUCAGUGAAGCAGAGUUGCCAGCCAUCUAUGGAUCCUAACUAAAUUGGUCCUUGUAAUACUCGGUAUUAUUUGCCAAGAUAUUGAAAAACCUCUAAACAGUGAGAAGCUCCCAGCCCCUUUUCUGUGUCUCUCAUCACCAGCUGCUGUGCCCUGAGGACACCCAGGCAGCCUAAGGAGAGGCCCACAGGUGAGAAACUGCAUGUGUGAGCUGAGCUUGGAAGUGGAUCUUCUAUGUUUUGCCAACAGCCACGUGACUAGUUUUGGAAGCAGAUUCUCCAGCCCCAGCUGCACCUGUGCCAGAGGCACCCAUUAAGCCGCACCUAGUUAAAUUCCUGACCCACAAAGACUUUGAAAUCAUAAAUGUUUGUUGUUUUAAGCUGCUAAGUUUUGAAGUAAUCUGCCAUGUAGCAACAUGAAACUACUUGGACCAAAUAUGUGUUUUUCUAAGCACAGGAAUAUUCACACUUUAUUAAACUUGAGUAUUCCAACAAUAGGAUGGAAGUCCAAGUUUUAUUUCUUUGCUGGGACCCUCACAUGCAUGUAUCACAUAUGUAUCAUUAAAAAAUGAAGGACAAAUCUAAUCAGGGGAUGACUUUAUAUUGAUUUUUUUUUAACUUAGUAGAAUCAGUAAGUGAAAUGUUGUUAGACUUAGUAAAAUAAAAAAUAAGCAAAGUUAUUGUAUUUUUACCCACUAGUAAAGAAGUUAGUCAUGGCAUUGCUGAAAACACUUUGAGCACCACAGUAAUAAGUCACAACACAAUUUAGGAUCAAGGUUCACAAAUGAGAUCUGUGCACAGCACUCUGGGUGUCAGAAAAAUCCGUAAUAAUACAGAUCUCAUGAAAAGGAGUCAUAUAACUGAAAGCAAACAUAUUUUGUACUCUACCAGAUAAAACUGCAAAUAUAUUCAUCAUCCAUUUUUUAA